rnacentral:misc_RNA from 1 species
GGAACAUUGUUUAUAGUUGGAGGUAUGGCUUGGUUUUGUUUUACAUAUAAUUUGAAUUUCAAUGUCUGUGGAAUUUCAAUAUCAGUAACAUGAUAUUCAAUUCUUGCAUCUUUCUUGUGGCUGAUAUUGUUUAAACAAGAUAGGAUGAUAUUUAUCACUGGUUGUCUUCUUUGCAUGUUCCUGCUGUUCAAUAAUUAAUAUUAGAAUAAUAUGUUUCUCAAAUAAAAUUUCCUUUUGUUCGUCGUCAGCUUUAACUGGGUCAAACAAUGUGGAUUAUAUUUUCUUGAACUGUGUGCUCCACCAACACAGUUAAAUAAUUAAAGUUAUUGGCUUAAAGCUUUGCUUACGCAAUAACCCUUAAGGCAUUGAAUUGCUUUGUUAGGCAUGAAUAACUCCAGAGUCCAGAUUUAGCUAACACAAAAAAGAAAUUGGAAAAAUAAAUGAGUAAUCUGCAGUUUGAGAUCCUUUGUAUUAUCAAUGCCAUUUCACUUGAUUCCUUUUGAUGUACAGACUAAACUUAAUCAUCCUGGGUACCCUCAGGUAGUACUGCUGUUAAAUUUGCAUUCAUGCAUUUACUUGUCAUUUCUGAUGGGAAAUAGCAUAUAUUGAUUUGACUUGCACGCAUAGUCUGAAAUUUUAUAGAUGGUAACUCUUAUGUGGGCAUUGACAAAUAAUGUGCUUAUACAUAAGGAUAGCCUUUUUGCGUUUGCUAAAAAGGAAUCAUUAAAGAACAAAUUCAACUCUUUAAUAUUAGGAUUAUAAACAUCUGACACCUUUAGCCAUUAUUAUCAUAUUGUGAAACCAAGCUAAAUAAAUCGUAUGAAAUAUGUAGUGAAAUGGACACUGCAAUCUGAAGUUAGUUGUGAUGGAUACUCUGAUGGGAACAAAUGACUUGAGCAUAUCUUGCUAUGGAGGAUGUUCAACUUUAGGAGGCUCCAAUUAUAAAUAAACUUGAGCAGCAGAUGUAGCCGUGUUGUAACAGGGCCUAACUGGUAGUGGCGCUGAUACAAAGUAUUUUAACAAUAUCCAAAAUAUUCAAGUUGUGAUAUAAAUCAAUUGUCACUCACUUUGUGUAAAUUGCUUGCAUAAAUUCUCUUGUUGUCAGUAUCUGCAACCUGUCUCUGCUAAUAGCCAUGUGUUUUUGUGUUUGCACAUGCUAUUUUUUCUGUGGUACCUAGUCACCAUGGGUCCUCCACAUGAUCAAAGAGUGUAUCAUUGCUAUUAUAUUAUGCAUGGCUUUGAACUCAUUUGACACAAUUUCUAAGCUAACACUUUGAAAGUUUUAUGGUGAGUUCAAACACUUCAUAUAAGUAAAUGCUUGUUUUGCUCCUUUUCUAUAUAUCUGUAGAUUUUAGGGAAUUUAACUCUCUAAAUUAUGAAAAUGCAGGUUACCUCUUCUCUCUAAAUCA